rnacentral:tRNA from 1 species
AGUCCUGUGGCAUAAUGGGCAAUGCAUCAGCCCUAGAAGCUCAGUGCUGUGGGUUCAAGUCCCACCUGGGAUA